CGCGCAGGUGGUUUCUUAAGUCUGAUGUGAAAGCCCACGGCUCAACCGUGGAGGGUCAUUGGAAACUGGGAGACUUGAGUGCAGAAGAGGAUAGUGGAAUUCCAAGUGUAGCGGUGAAAUGCGUAGAGAUUUGGAGGAACACCAGUGGCGAAAGCGGCUCUCUGGUCUGUAACUGACACUGAGGCUCGGAAGGCGUGGGAGCAAACA
rnacentral:rRNA from 1 species